ensembl:lncRNA
GGCGCAGCUGCGCUGCUCCUUGCAUUCGCUCAGCCCGCAGGGCAGGUUGCAGCCUCUCUGCGCAUGGCCAGCUGCCGCCAUCUUGGAUUAAGCUGUCGUUCGCAGUGUCUCUGCACACUGCCCGAGCGGCGUCAGGCGCAGCCAUUUUUCAGGAGGAACUCUUGGUCUGAAGGGCCUGUUUGAGGCCACUGCAUGGAACACCCUUGAGCAAGUGAAACUAGAUUAAUCACAAAGGACAAGAAGAAGUGUCAGAUGGUCUAAAAGAAAACAGAAAAUGUCAGCUGUAUUCAUGGAGACAAUGACCAAGCAUGAGUGGUAAAGAAUCCAUUUGGCAAUGCAGAAGAUGCAAGAGACAUGGAUUUGAUCCCUGGGUCAGGAAGAUCCCCUGGAAUAGGAAAUGGCAACCUGCUCCAGUAUUUUGGCCUGGAGAAUUCCAUGGACAGAGGUGUCUGGUGAGCUACAGUCCUUGGGGUGGCAAACAUUCGCACAAGACUCAGCACGUGCACAUACCCCAAGUAUCACAAGCUUUGUGAUUGUGUUAAUUCCUCUGGGUCUUUUUCUGUCUACCUAUAUCUAUUUGGCUAUCAGGACUGGCCAAAUCUAAUAUUCAAGCCCUUUACUAUAAUAUUUUAUUUAAAUGUGUUUAUAGUAAUUUUAAAAAUCUGUUUAGCUUUUAUGUUGUUUCAUAUAUAAAACAAAAUUAUUUCUUAUAAGUUAUGCUUUUUAUUAUUAUAUAAUAUCCCCCUUUUUUCUGUUUAGGGAUUUUGGACUUAAAUUACAUGUUCCAUGGUACAGUGACACCAUGCCUGCUUUAAGAUGUUGCUCUCCUUUUACAUUUCAUUGUUGCUUGUCCUUCUCCAGCCCUCAUAUAAAAUCAGACAGAUAUUUCCCUAGUAUUUCGUGAAAAGAAGAUGCCAACUUUUCCCCAGCUUUUCCACUGUCACUCCCCACCCAUGAUAUUCAGCUUGAAAAAGACUUCAGUUGAAAUUUCCUCCUUACUCUCCUCCCAAGAGAGGACGACUUGGGAAUAUUUUUGCUUCCUUCUUUCUCAUGCCCCUCCUCACCACAAUUCUUUAGUUUUGCUGAGGUGGUUUAGUUCUUUAAAUUCCAGAUUAUUAUUAAAUUUUCCUUUUUAGUACACUUCUCUAUUUCUAAGCUCUCUAUUUAUAAUAGUUACACAUACUCAGUCCAUCUUGGUCAACCUAUUUUUAAUUAAAUAUCACAAGCUUGUUGCUCACUGUGGCUUUCUCUCCUCUUCAAGUCUGUUUUGUUUGUUGGUUUGUUUUUUAAAAAGUCUUUUUCUAGUAUUUUUACCGGAUGAGUAAUGAGAUGUGUGACUUCUCUGAAUCUUUAUGUAUCUGCAAACACUUUUCUUGUACCCUAAGAGAUGAAAAAUAUUUUUAAGUUGGAAAUAUAUCCCAUUGUCUUCUAGCUUCCUAGUGUUGCAAAAGAAAAUUUCAUGACAGCCUAAUUUUUUCCUUUAUAAACAACUUAAACGUUUCUACACAGAAAGAAUAUGAUUUUUCUCUUUAUC